GACGGCGGAGGCAAGCGUUGUCCGGACUUAUUGGGCGUACAGCCUCCGCGGGGGGCGAGUCAAGUCUGCUGUCACAGGUCGGGGCUUAACCCCGGGAAGUCAGUGGAAACUGAAUAGCUAGAGUGCGGCAGGGGCAGAGGGAAUUCCCGGUGUAGCGGUGAAAUGCGUAGAGAUCGGGUAGAACACCAGUGGCUAAAGCGCUCUGCUGGGCCUGCACUGACACUGAGGGACGAAAGCUAGGGUAGCGAAAGGG
rnacentral:rRNA from 1 species